CUUUUGGCCUUUAAAAACUGCUCACCACUCGAGUCACCAGAUAGAACUACAUUUAGCAACGGGUCUCCUCCUGACUUCCUGCUACUAAAACCCACAAGCACCAGGGUGUUGCGUCGGUUUGUUUUUAAAACAGUAUUUGCUCCCUUCACCUCCGGGGGGCAAACAAGGUCCUUCUGGACUAAGGAGCCGCGAAGAGGUGACGGUGCACGCUGUGUUAAAAAAAAAACCAAACGCAAGGGUCGCGCGGCAGCAGCGCUGCAGGGGUUAAGAGGCGAUCUCUCUCCCCCCACUCCCCCCCUCAAGAGGGGUGACCCGGCCCGGCAGCGCGGCGAACCCCCGGCGCCCAAGCUGAAGGAGAAAAGGAGAAGGGUAAAAAUAAGCGCAGCCGCGGCCCACGUGCCGCCCGCGGGAGCCAAGGAGGGAAGGGGCCAUACCUCCAAACAUGUGCGGCGAGAGGUGAGCUGGUAAGGAGCCGAUCACCAGGCGUGGCCCGCCGGGACCCCCGCCCGCCGGCCGGUCCCUGCCGCCGCCGCCGUCCUCGGGACUGCUGUGAACCGAGUCCUGGGAGCCGUACGGGCCGCUGCUGCUGUUGGGGAUGCUGAAGGUAGACUGCGCCGCGCGGGCCCCCGACGCCACGGUCCCCACGGCCCCGCCGAGGGAGCGGCUGCGCGGGGCCGCCGAGGCCGCCGCGGCGCCACCGGAGGCGCUGGGCUGGUGCGCGCCGGGCACCUGAGCCGGAAACCUCCCGGCGGCCGCGGCUCGCGCCCCGCCGCCCGCGGUCCCGUUGGCCCCUCCGCUGCUGCUGGAAGGGAGCGCGCCCCCUCUCCAGCGCAGGGCCUACGCCGAUUGGAGGGACCGAGCCCCUCAGAGCGCCAACCAGAAGGCGGCCCCUCCUGCUGCACGUGGCCCUCGGACGCCGGACCUGACCGUGGGUCUACUUCACCUUUUUCCAGCUUGGGGCUGGGAGUGGUUCGGUCCUGUGUCCCGAGUCAUUUAGUUUGGGUGGGUGUCAACUUCCUCCUUGGUGUUACUCCGAGUGUGUCGUUUAAAUAAAACAGAAGCUCACCAAUGCUGAUGAUAAAAGACUGAAAACAAAAGAAAGAACCGAGGAGGCAGAAGCCAACUUGAUCUGAAUUAGAUCUAUCCCAUUUAAACACUCUGAGUGUGGAGAAAGCACGGAGUUGAUAGAACUAAGGAUAAUCCAGCCUGAUCUUCAGUUGUAGGGCAAUAACUGUGGCGCAGAGAAAGCACCCGAUUCGGGAGACCUGGGGUCUAGGUCUGGGACCAAAACUAAGUUACGUGUAAUAAGCAAAUUAUUUUACCUUUUUGAACUUUAGUUUCCUUACCUGGGAUCUUGGUAUCAAAUCUCGAGGGUACCUGCUGCUUUAAAAUCCUGUAAUUUCUCUAAAAUGGCAAUUAAUAAAAUUCUCACUCCAUUCGUAACUGUAAUGUGGUGUCUUGGUAGCAAAGCAUGGUCUGGAUACCCAGUGGACAGCCUGCUCUGACCCUCCCAUUUUUAAAAUGCCUAAAAGUGUCCUCUAUAUGAAAAUAAUUGCAACUGGUGUUUUUUGUACAAAAUGCAGAUGUAAAUACUUUAUCGUUUUUCCAUAUUUGUAAUGAGUCAUUUAUGUAAUCAUUUUUAUCAAGCUUUGUAAUGAUUUUUAUCACUCUUUGAGGUAUGAGAAUCAAGUUUUUAAACAGAAGUGAAGGAUAUAUGUAUAGAUAUUGAUGUGUUAUGUGUGUGUGUGUAUAUAUGUAUACACACACACACACAAACAAAGCUACUCAAUUCAAAUCUAACAUUCUUUCAUCUUGGGUAUGAGCUUACUGAAACCAACGUUUACUUGGUAAGCAAAGAAAAGUUUGAAACGCCAAAGUGUUACCAGAAUGACAAGCUCUCAUUUAAGAAGGCAUCUAGUGAUUUGAUCCUAUUUAACUUUUAUUGAAUGAGGCCUUGGGUGCAGAACUAUGGUUCAGCAGGAAUUUGUCACCAAUAUGGCAAGAACUUACUGUUAAUAGAGAAAAGUAAUAAACUAUGAUUUUUAAAAAGGAGUAAAA